AAAUUGUGGCGUGCGCAGAGAGAUCAUUACAUCAGCUGUUCAAUACAUUAUGGUAGUUGUUUGUGUUUAGUAAUUGCAAGGUCAGUCUUUGUGCGAGUAUAAAAUUGUUUUGAAGUUUUUGGUACUUGGAAGUGUACAGAUUUUAAUAAAAAUAUCUUCGUCGAAUUUCACGCAGUUUCUACAAAAGUGUUUUCCUUCUUCGGACUCAUGAAUAGCACAGGUUCUUCUGACUCAAAUGGAUCCAAAAAUUAUUUUGUAAACUUCAACCAGGAUAGCACAUCUUUAGCAGUGGGUAGCAGAACAGGGUAUCGUCUGUAUUCUCUUAGCGGUGUCGACACACUCGAACAAAUAUAUAGCAAUGGCACCGAGGACACGUGCCUUGUGGAAAGGCUGUUCAGCAGUAGUUUGGUCGCGGUGGUCUCUCUGGCUGCCCCCCGAAAGCUGAAGGUGUGCCAUUUCAAGAAAGGAACGGAAAUUUGUAAUUAUUCCUAUUCCAACACUAUUUUGGCCGUCAAACUUAACAGAGCUCGACUUGUAGUAUGUCUCGAAGAGAGUUUGUAUAUCCAUAACAUUAGAGAUAUGAAAGUUCUUCAUACGAUUAGGGACACACCUCCAAAUCCUUUAGGUCUUUGUGCUUUAAGUAUAACCUCUGAUAACUGUUUCAUAGCAUAUCCGGGAUCUUCGAUUAUUGGUGAAGUACAGAUUUUCGAUGCCAUUAAUCUGCACGCGAAAACUAUGAUCCACGCGCACGACAGCCCAUUAGCUGCGUUGGCGUUCAGCCCGAAUGGUACCCGUAUAGCUACGGCGUCAGAGAAAGGAACUGUGAUCCGAGUGUUUUCUGUAAUAGACGCUUCAAAAUUGUACGAGUUCAGGAGAGGAGUGAAACGCUGCGUUGCCAUAUCGUGUAUAGCGUUCAGUUUGUGCGGCCAAUUCUUGAGCUGUAGCAGUAAUACGGAAACUGUACAUAUAUUUAAAUUAGAGGAACCAAAGGAUAGUCCUAGAAGGAGCGUAGAAGAAAGCAGUUGGAUGGGAUAUUUGACGACUUACCUUCCCACACAAGUGACGGACGUUUUUACCCAAGGUAGAGCUUUUGCCACGGCGCACUUGCCUUUCUACGGUGUCAAGAAUGUGAUCUCGAUAGCAACAAUCCAGCAGCAGCUGAGAUUGCUAGUAGCGACGGAAGACGGAACUCUGUACGUGUACAACAUCGAUCCCAGCGAAGGAGGCGACCUGAUUCUGUUCAAAGAGCACCGAUUAGACGGUGCCCCGGAGAACCCAGGCAAAUCCUCUGACAAAACGGACAUAGGAAAGACCUCGGCGCCCCAAAACAUCGAAGGAGGUUGUUGAAAAAACUAAAAUGCUGUAUUGAUGGCGGUAUUUACGAUUGCAUGUGCAAUUUGACAAGUUGUUGAUAUAUUGCUGCUGAAACCACACUGGUAGUCACCGAGGACACUGAGCUCCAGCUUCUGUGUGGUGUUACAUUACCCUCCUCAAGGUCCCUCAUUUUGAUAAUCUGUUGUAGAUUAGACAUAGUAGAACAACUCAUCACUCCUUGGACUCCUUUACUUGCUAACCGAAAGGUCAUGAUCACUUUAUAGCGUCUCUUCGACAUCAACACAGAGUCAGAAAAGUUCCGGGAGAUGGCAGCAGCUACGGAAUCGCCGCCCAAAGGCGCGUUUCAGUUCACCGACGACCAGGAAUACCCCCCGCUAACCCAGAACUCAGAUUGAGACAUACUCAUCUACGUCGCCGGA
rnacentral:misc_RNA from 1 species